AGCGUAGGCGGUUGGGUAAGUCAGGUGUUAAAGCUAUCGGCUUAACUGGUAGUUGCACUUGAAACUACUCAGCUGGAGGAUGCAAGAGGAAAGCGGAACUCGUGGUGUAGCGGUGAAAUGCGUAGAUAUCACGAGGAACACCAGUAGCGAAGGCGGCUUUCUGGGGCAUUCCUGACGCUGAGGCUCGAAAGCGUGGGGAGCGAACAGGAUUAGAUACCCUGGUAGUCC
rnacentral:rRNA from 1 species